GGUCGGUUCUUCUCUCCAGUUCCGCCUCCAUCAAAACCCUAAGAUGCAAAUUCUUCCGAACAAGAAGAAGAAUAUCUAAUCAGUUGGAGCUAGAUUCGUUCAAUUGGUCUUAUGUUUCAUUGAAGCCUUCAACUGUGAUAGUGAUUCUUGAGUUGAAGGUCAGAGAAGACUAAUAGCGCAGUGCAUCAAGUGGACUUGUAGGAAUAUUGUCGUUCUUGCUUGGUUCAGGAUACUGAUAUUUUGUGGAUACAUGUGGAUUUUGGCAAUUCCUCUCUGUAAUGCAGUUAAGCUACUGAUUUUCUGGGUUGUAGCAACAACAAGAUAAGUUGCUCUUGGAUUUUACUUUGAGCACUCUUAAAGUAGCUUUGAAUUGUGGAUGAAGAUUGAUUAAUGAAGUUUAUGAUAAAUGAAUGUGUUGUGCAGUUUCUUUGAGCUAUUCAAAUUGUUACAGUGAAGAGGUGAUGAUGAACAUAUAUUGAACUGGGUAUAAGAAACAAGGAGCAACAUUCAAGUCUAAUGGCAAUACAAAUAUUACACCAAACCAAAUGAGGGCAUUUAAGAGUACUGCUUGUUGAAUGGUCUGAACUCUGAUGCAACACCAAAUGGGUAUUCUACCAGUAGAUCACUAGAGGAUAUUCUUCUGUUGGAUCCGCAAACUGCACCUCUGGUUCCACCACUAAAUAUCAGUAGGAAGGGAGAAGUGGUUUAUUGUGUUGAUGGUUCCCAUCAGGUCAGCAAUCUUCUGCAGCAAGCUCUCCUCCUCAUGGGCGUCCUGUACCAGUUCUGUAACAAGAUCCACAGUUAACCAAAGCUCAUAUUUUUUAUAAAAUGCAUGGAUGAAACUGAAGGGCUGUCAGUAAAUACAUUAUUUAUUAACCACGAGCUGUACCAGCAGUGAUCUUUCCAUUUUGGUUCCUGCUAGUUUUAGUUGAUAGAAACUGCCAGUUCUGCCGUUUCGAAGCGUAACUCAAAAUGGCUGCCUUGGCUGAAACAAAUGUUGGCGUUUUCGUUUAGAUGUUUUUUUCUUCUUUCUUACUCUAUAAGAAGAAUGGCCUCAACGUAACUUAGUUACUUAUGUGCUUUACUAUGUUCAGUGCGCACUCCUCAAAUUGAUAGGAAGGAGAUAUUCCGCCAAGCCAGGUCUGACUACUACGGGGUUCAGUUCUUAGUCACGAUUUUUAUUGACAAUUUCGAAAGUUUACAACUAUACGAAAUUGUGGAUAUUUAGAACUGCAUGAGUACUUUGUCUUAUGAGAAGUUCAGUGCAUUUCUUUCCAACAUCAAGGAGCUGAACUGUCAAAAUCAAACUCGAGAGGAAACGUUAAGGAAGGCAGAAUAAUUAUUUGGUACAGACAUGAGAUAACAAAGAUCAUUACUUAUCACUCCAAGGGAUGCUUAUUCGUAACAACCAUUAGGACUUAAAGGCGUAUUCCAAAGAUGGUGCAUCAUAAUAGAAUUGCGCAAAAGAAGCCAAAGAAACCAAACUGGCACCUUCUAAUAAUUGAAAAGGUUGGAAAUUUGGGAUACGAAGAGAUUGAAUGGGAGUAAAAGAGAAGUUGUUGCUAGUCACUGGGUACACCAUUCUCUCUAUCGUGUUACAUGAUCUGAUACCAUUAGUUGUUACUCCCAACCGUCCAAGCCGCCAUCUAGUGUAUAUUUGUUGGUUCAUGUAUGUUGUGUAACCUUUACAGUGGAUUACAAGUUUAACUAAAUGGAAUAUGUCCGAUUUUUUCCAAA